UACGUAGGAUGCAAGCGUUGUUCGGAAUUACUGGGCGUAAAGAGUACGUAGGCGGUUUGAUAAGUCUGCUAUUAAAGACUGGAGCUUAACUCCAGGACUGUAGUGGAAACUGUCAGACUAGAGGACAAUAGAGGAAGUGGGAAUUCUCAGUGUAGCGGUGAAAUGCGUAGAUAUUGGGAAGAACACCAGUGGCGAAAGCGCACUUCUGGGUUGUUACUGACGCUGAGGUACGAAAGCGUGGGGAGCAAACGGGG
rnacentral:rRNA from 1 species